GAUGAACGCUGGCGGCGUGCCUAAUACAUGCAAGUCGAACGCUUCACUUCGGUGAAGAGUGGCGAACGGGUGAGUAAUACAUAAGUAACCUGGCAUCUACAGGGGGAUAACUGAUGGAAACGUCAGCUAAGACCGCAUAGGUGUAGAGAUCGCAUGAACUCUAUAUGAAAAGUGCUACGGGACUGGUAGAUGAUGGACUUAUGGCGCAUUAGCUGGUUGGUAGGGUAACGGCCUACCAAGGCGACGAUGCGUAGCCGACCUGAGAGGGUGACCGGCCAAACUGGGACUGAGACACGGCCCAGACUCCUACGGGAGGCAGCAGUAGGGAAUUUUCGGCAAUGGGGGAAACCCUGACCGAGCAACGCCGCGUGAAGGAAGAAGUAAUUCGUUAUGUAAACUUCUGUCAUAGAGGAAGAACGGUGGAUAUAGGGAAUGAUAUCCAAGUGACGGUACUCUAUAAGAAAGCCACGGCUAACUACGUGCCAGCAGCCGCGGUAA
rnacentral:rRNA from 1 species